rnacentral:rRNA from 1 species
UACGGGGGGAGCAAGCGUUGUUCGGAUUUACUGGGCGUAAAGGGCGCGUAGGCGGCCACCGCAAGUCGGUUGUGAAAUCUCUGGGCUUAACCCAGAAAGGUCAACCGAUACUGCGGGGCUAGAGUGCAGAAGGGGCAACUGGAAUUCUCGGUGUAGCGGUGAAAUGCGUAGAUAUCAAGAGGAACACCUGCGGCGAAGGCGGGUUGCUGGGCUGACACUGACGCUGAAGCGCGAAAGCCAGGGGAGCGAACGGG